GAUACCCAUACGUCGAUCUAUCAUACAAGAGCCAUCAGUGACCAACAGUGUGGGAAACAUAUCAAACCCAUCUGCUAAACACAGGUUUGCAAUCAUCUUUAUCCCUGUCUGCACAUCUAUCCUCUCUUGAAGCGAGUAAUCUCCUGUGAUUUUCCCGUAUGCCCUCAACAAGAUUAUCCACCAUAAACCUGAAAAUUUUCUAUUUAGACCAGCAUGUGUGAAUUAAACUGUUCAAUUAUAUGUUGCCAAGCUGAAAGAAUCAACAAUUAUGUAUGACAAUGAAUCAACAAUACAAUCUUUUCUUACUCUAUUUAUGGAAAAUGCAGAUUGAAGAAGCAGAAAAGUACUGACCAGAAUCAACGGGAGCAACACGACCUAUAGCUGCUUCGCCAAAAUCUGGAUCCAGAACCUCUUCGAACUUGUCCUCUUCAAGCGGUAAAGUUCUGACUUUGAAACUCGCAGGCAUUAACCCUUGUCCUGGACUAUAACAAUCAACUGUUUUCUCCCAACUCUGGAACCACAACACAGACAACAACACUAAUUUUCAUAUCUUUGAUUUUACUUAAAUGUUUAACUUGCAGUAAAAAAAAUUCUUAGUUAUCCUUUCAUUUAAAUGCAAACUCUUUGCUUUUAAACAACAUUUUGUGUUCGUUUCAGUGUAUAACAUCGCGAAUGGGCAUCAAUACCUGCAACUGCAACGUGUGGAGAAGGAAGUUUCGAACAAU
rnacentral:lncRNA from 1 species